GUUAAGUUUUAUUCUUGCUUAUUCGUUCAGUUUAUGUUUGUUCUAUAUGUAAGUUUGUGCGUAAUUUGUCGUGGUCGGCCCUAAAUGGUCUUGGUUAUUAUGUGUAAGGUUGUUUUUAAUCUAUAAUUCUCAUUAGUUGUUAUUGGUGUGGUUCAAGUAAUCUUGUAUUUAGCAAUAUAUUUUAGUUUCGGUUAAAUUUUGUGCCAGCAGCCGCGGUUAUACCUUGGAGGCGUUUGAAUGUUUUCGGCGUUAAUGUAGUUAUAUUGAUUAGUUUUUGAUUUUGUUUUGGUGAUUGUUAGGUGAAAUUUUUAUUUUUGGUUUAUUUCGGGUGUCUUUAUUGGAGGCUAUGAAAUUCUUAUUAUAGACUAGGAUUAGAUACCCUAUUAUUUUAGAAUGUUAAUUUUUUAUGUCUGAGUAGUAUUAGUUAUGUUCUUGAAACUUAAAGAAUUUGGCGGUAUCUCAUUCCUUCCAGAGGAAUCUGUCUCGUUAUCGAUAGUCCACGUUGGACCUUACUUAGUUGCUUUGGUUUGUAUACCGCCGUUUAUUGAUUAUCCUUUUAGGGUUGUUUUAAUUUUCUGGUUUCUUUAUUAUGAUUUAUUUCAGGUCAAGGUGCAGCUUGUUUCUAAGUGAAUGAUGGAUUACAUUGUUAUUUGUAUUUAUUGGAUUGUUGAUUUUUAUAUUGACAUGAAAUUGGAUUUGGCUGUAAUUGUUUGCAGACUGUUAUUGUGAUAUUGGUUCUGAGAUAUGUACACAUCGCCCGUCGCUCUCGUUUAGUUUAUUAAUGAGAUAAGUCGUAACAAAGUGGUUGUACCGGAAGGUGCAGCUGGGUUGGAGUUAA
rnacentral:ncRNA from 1 species